rnacentral:rRNA from 1 species
UACGUAGGUCGCAAGCGUUGUCCGGAUUUACUGGGCGUAAAGAGCGCGCAGGCGGCUGGUCAAGUCCGAUGUGAAAUCUCCCGGCUCAACUGGGAAACUGCAUCGGAAACUGAUCGGCUUGAAGAUGGGAGAGGGUAGUGGAAUUCCCGGUGUAGUGGUGAAAUGCGUAGAUAUCGGGAGGAACACCAGUGGCGAAGGCGGCUCGCUGGACCGGAACUGACGCUGAGGCGCGAAAGCGUGGGGAGCAAACAGG